rnacentral:rRNA from 1 species
UACGUAGGGUGCGAGCGUUAAUCGGAAUUACUGGGCGUAAAGCGGGCGCAGACGGUUCGUUAAGCAAGAUGUGAAAUCCCCGGGCUUAACCUGGGAAUUGCAUUUCAGACUGGGAAUCUAGAGUACUUUAGGGAGGGGUAGAAUUCCACGUGUAGCGGUGAAAUGCGUAGAGAUGUGGAGGAAUACCGAAGGCGAAGGCAGCCCCUUGGGAAGAUACUGACGCUCAUGUGCGAAAGCGUGGGGAGCAAACAGG